rnacentral:rRNA from 1 species
CCUACGGGUGGCAGCGGUGGGGAAUAUUGGACAAUGGGGGCAACCCUGAUCCAGCCAUGCCGCGUGUGUGAAGAAGGCCCUCGGGUUGUAAAGCACUUUCAGUGAGGAAGAACGCCUGGUGGUUAAUACCCAUCAGGAAAGACAUCACUCACAGAAGAAGCACCGGCUAACUCCGUGCCAGCAGCCGCGGUAAUACGGAGGGUGCGAGCGUUAAUCGGAAUUACUGGGCGUAAAGCGCGCGUAGGUGGCUUGAUAAGCCGGUUGUGAAAGCCCCGGGCUCAACCUGGGAACGGCAUCCGGAACUGUCAAGCUAGAGUGCAGGAGAGGAAGGUAGAAUUCCCGGUGUAGCGGUGAAAUGCGUAGAGAUCGGGAGGAAUACCAGUGGCGAAGGCGGCCUUCUGGACUGACACUGACACUGAGGUGCGAAAGCGUGGGUAGCAAACAGGAUUAGAUACCCCGGUAGUC